GAGCCCUGAGGAAGGGCAGCGCCUCCCCAGUAACAGCGCUGGCCAAAACGCCAAAACACACACAACAAGAAGAUUAUCUGAAGCUAGUCCUGGGGACAGCCCCCUCUGCACUGAGACAGGCGACAACUGCAGGAUGAACCAUUUCCUUUAACAGUUGCAUCAGCCCCCUCUCUGAGGAAAACAUAAAGCUUCUGAAGCCAAGCCACCUUGAAAUUUGGGAAGCAGCUUUUCUAGCUGAAGUUUGUCUUUGCUGCAGCAGAGCAACCUAAAGCACUUGACUAUUACUCACUUA